AUUGAACGCUAGCGGCAUGCCUUACACAUGCAAGUCGAACGGUAACAGGUCUUCGGAUGCUGACGAGUGGCGAACGGGUGAGUAAUACAUCGGAACGUGCCUAGUAGUGGGGGAUAACUACUCGAAAGAGUGGCUAAUACCGCAUGAGAUCUACGGAUGAAAGCAGGGGAUCGCAAGACCUUGCGCUACUAGAGCGGCCGAUGGCAGAUUAGGUAGUUGGUGGGAUAAAAGCUUACCAAGCCGACGAUCUGUAGCUGGUCUGAGAGGACGAUCAGCCACACUGGGACUGAGAAACGGCCCAGACUCCUACGGGAGGCAGCAGUGGGGAAUUUUGGACAAUGGGCGCAAGCCUGAUCCAGCAAUGCCGCGUGCAGGAUGAAGGCCUUCGGGUUGUAAACUGCUUUUGUACGGAACGAAAAGCCCCGGGUUAAUACCCUGGGGUCAUGACGGUACCGUAAGAAUAAGCACCGGCUAACUACGUGCCAGCCGCCGCCGUAA
rnacentral:rRNA from 1 species